rnacentral:lncRNA from 1 species
AGCUUUACUCACAGACAAGCCUCCCAAGCCAUUGUUUCCCAUGGAGAAUCAGCCAAGUGUUAUAGAUGUCCAGCUGGUAUUAUUAAAGGCAUGGACUUGGGAGUUAUUUGAACCUGGGUUCCAGUGGCACUGCCCCUCACUAUGUGACCCCAGGCUUGCAGGCUGUCCUGGGGGAGCUGCUUUGAUGCCACGGUGCAUUGGUCUUGCUGCCCAUUUCAAAAAUGAAAAGACCCAGCUUGCUUACUCCAGCUCAACAAAGAGAUUAGUCCACCAAACAUGAGGAAAUCACGACUUGCCAGUAACUACAUCUGAAGGGUCUGAAUUAUCAGCCAAAGCCUUCUUAACUUAAAAUCUGCUAUCUGCUGCAUAUGGUGCCUAAAUACCAAAGGAACAGAGCACUUUUAAAUCCUUGGCAUGGCUGUUGUUAAAAGAUAAUUUUACCAAAAAAAAGUAAAAUCAUGGCUCUCAUACAGAUAUGAACACAUGCUAAAGACUUUGUUUAACUCAUUAAUGAGGGAACUGAUGAAGUCUUACAUAACCAAUUUGAGAAAGAAUUCAAGAAAAAAAGGACAGGAAUAUUGAAAUGGAUUUGCAAAUGAAAACAAACUGGCCUCUUUCAAAGUUUGUGUGUGGGGGGGAGGGGACCGUUGGAUAUCCAAUGGAUAGAAUUUACAUGUCUAUGGACAAGAAUUAUUUUGCAUGCUAUCAGUUUUCUACAGUUUACAGAGUUGUAAAAUUGCUCAAAAACAGUGAAAAACUAGAAUCAGGUAUAAUGGAGGGAUGUGAUCCAAACAAU